rnacentral:tRNA from 1 species
UAAAUAUCUAAAUUUAAGUAUAUCAUUUACAAUGAUAGGAUGUUUAUAAAAACUUUAUUUAAAUUGAGUUUAUUAAUAUUUUUUUUUUUUAUAAA